GCUCUGCCACAAACUCUAUCCAUUUUGGGCCCCCACCUGGAAAUCACUGUCAAUCCCUCUUAUACCCUCCUUUGGGUCAUCUAGAUGGUGCCCACUGGGGCUCCCAAAAUAGUUAUGUUCAUAUUUCCUGGUGUCUCUUCUUUUCUAGGACCCAGCCACAGGGAGCAAGACCAGAAAUGUCCUGAUUUCAGUUCCAUUUAGAGAUUCCCCUGCUGCCCAUACCUGCCUCCUUAGUGCAGCAUGUGACCAUCUUCAGAUCAUGUGAUUGAUGAACUCAGCAUAAGGCCCCGAGUGCCAACCCUGAACCAGCCUGAGUGCCAGCACACUUUCUGGGAGUGUUGGGGCAAAGACACUAUCUCUUUCUGGCUUGAUCUGAACAAGGAAGCAUGCAGCGCUGGUCAUCUUCACACUGUGAAGGAAUGCAACCAACACCCCCAGAAGACAGAGAAUGGGGAUGGGGUUGGAAAAGAAACCCGGGGACUGAGCCACAGAGAGGGAGCUUGCUGAUGCAAACCCUUCGGGGAGUUUUCAAUCAUAUGGUGGUGACCUUCUUGAUCUCCGAGAGAAUGCUGUUUGAAUGAAUAAAUGGAUGGGCAGCAGAAAUGAGGAGAAACCCAGUUGCUCCUGUAUGUUGAGGGUUUGUUUCAGGCCACUCCACUUGCUGUUCAUUUUUCCUCCUGAUUCAUGGCCAUUUACCAGUUCAAGAGCUGAGUCCCCUGAGGAAUCUUCCAUGAUGAUGAUAUCCAUGGCCAGAAACCGAGGUCUUCUUGGUGAUGAGAAGCACAGAUCCACCAAUGCUUAUGAAAUCUUGCAACAUGAGAAAUUAACUCCGAGAGGAUCGUGAGGGUGCACCUGCAUCUCUUGUCAGGCAGUAAAUGGCAGAAACUUCGAUGCAUCCAUUUUUUAAAUCAGGGUCUUGGCCCCAAAACACUUUGCAGGAAUGUCACCAUGUGACUCUGAGCUCGGGAAGGGUGAUAUUUAGAGGCCUCAACGGCCUCCUGUUCCACAAAUGAAGACAUGGAGUGAGAUGGUGAAGGGGGUUUAAGCAGGUAUGGGCCUUUCAUUCUUCACUGUAUGGCUUGAAUAAAUAUCUGAUGUGU